ensembl:lncRNA
CCUCUAAUACAGAUAAAAAGGGAGGAGAGAUGCAAGCAGUUGGGAUUCACGGAAAUGAGAGUGGGAAUAAAGAAAAGCCUGUUGGUGUGAGUCAAACUGAGGCAGCUGUGCUUUCCCUCUCAGCACUGUAACAGCUGUGUGGGGGCUGAAAAGAACCAGAGGGAGAGCUAGCUGGUGGCACUAGUUUGGGGCGGAUGGUUUCCUUUCUCUGUUUGCCUGAGAGGGAAUAGAUGUAUAAUUGUCCUGCCUGUACAAAGAUGCUUCUUCCAGGGUACUUUUGACUCCACGUCAGUUCAGGAGCAGCCAGGCACAUGGACAAGUUCUGUUGCAAACUGUGACUGCACAUGAACCAAAGGGACAUGAAGAGGCUGCUUCACACCAGAUGUGGAUUCAAAGCUUUGAACAGCUGGAAAAGCUUUUCAGACAACUCAACAAUCAACUCAAGAGAAGCAGCAAACAUUAAAAUUCUAUGGCUGAAGCUGUAUUUCACAUCCUGGGAGGACUGUGUAUAAUAGCUUCCAGUCACCAGAAAAUCAGCCAGAAGGAACAUGAAACUUGCGGUAUGAAACGUUGUUGGACGAGGUCAUUGAGAAGAUGUAACCACUGAGUGAUCUGCAUGCUGGACCUGGGCAAUCAAAGGCACCUCAUCCUCUCUCCUGUCCUUGGACCUACACUUUACAUUCUACCCACCAUUCCCACAGUGCAAAGGUGUUGACUAGACCUCUGGAUGGUAUAUGUGACUCAGUCCAGUAAAGGCCACUAUAUAAACUCUUAAGAUUCUGGUUGGAAAAUACGGAGAACAGCUUGUCUUGCACCUGCCCAAGAGAAUCCUUUUAAGUAAGUCCCCUUGCUUGUUAUUGGCCACAUAUCCAAUCCAAAGUGAUUUGCCUCUUCCUUUGGUCUCUCCCUCCUUCCAUGUAUGGGGGCCAGUUUGAAAACCAACAGUUGUCAAAUCAGCCAGGACACUGAAGAAAGGGGCCUUGGGAGAGAGGCAUUGAGGUGAAGUGGGGGUAGGGGGUCCUAAGCUGGACAUCGACUUCUGUGUAAGGAAGGAUGACCUCUAUGUUAUAUGCUUGUGGACCACUAUGUGAAUAUGGGGAUGCCCCUAAGACACCAACUGGUCAAAUAUGCUUGUUUGAGGAACAGUGCAGAGCACACAAAGAAGGAAAAUGAAUGGCUGCUACAGCAGGCUGACCUCUACUGUGAGCAGUUCAUCUAGUCACCAUUGCCAAAUUGGAGGCUAUUACUUAAGGUAGAGAGUUGGAAGAAGAGCUGAAGUUAGAGAACAAGCUGUGAGUGUCCACUGCUUUGCUAGCUCUGGAGCUGGAUGACAAGGUGGGAGAGGAGGUUCAUAAGUUGGAGACUUUAGUGUGCUGUUUUGCAAAAACAGGAAGGCACAAGAUGCCUCAGAUUAAGGUCUGAGUGCUUGUGAAGAAGACUGAUUGGGGUGUUAAGAGGUGGGAUUCCUGGGACAGUGAGGAGAAUGAAGAAAAGGAUGUUGUGAUGAUUGACAGCAAAACAGAUGAAAUGCCCCAUGCUGUCUGACCUUUAGUACAAAGA